rnacentral:rRNA from 1 species
ACCGAGAUUCAACAUGGAACGAGUGGCGGACGGGUGAGUAACACGUGGGUAACCUGCCCUUAAGUGGGGGAUAACAUUUGGAAACAGAUGCUAAUACCGCAUAGAUCCAAGAACCGCAKGGUUCUUGGCUGAAAGAUGGCGUAAGCUAUCGCUUUUGGAUGGACCCGCGGCGUAUUAGCUAGUUGGUGAGGUAAUGGCUCACCAAGGCGAUGAUACGUAGCCRAACUGAGAGGUUGAUCGGMCACAUUGGGACUGAGACACGGCCCAAACUCCUACGGGAGGCAGCAGUAGGGAAUCUUCCACAAUGGACGCAAGUCUGAUGGAGCAACGCCGCGUGAGUGAAGAAGGCUUUCGGGUCGUAAAACUCUGUUGUUGGAGAAGAAUGGUCGGCAGAGUAACUGUUGUCGGCGUGACGGUAUCCAACCAGAAAGCCACGGCUAACUACGUGCCAGCAGCCGCGGUAAUACGUAGGUGGCAAGCGUUAUCCGGAUUUAUUGGGCGUAAAGCGAGCGCAGGCGGUUUUUUAAGUCUGAUGUGAAAGCCCUCGGCUUAACCGAGGAAGCGCAUCGGAAACUGGGAAACUUGAGUGCAGAAGAGGACAGUGGAACUCCAUGUGUAGCGGUGAAAUGCGUAGAUAUAUGGAAGAACACCAGUGGCGAAGGCGGCUGUCUGGUCUGUAACUGACGCUGAGGCUCGAAAGCAUGGGUAGCGAACAGGAUUAGAUACCCUGGUAGUCCAUGCCGUAAACGAUGAAUGCUAGGUGUUGGAGGGUUUCCGCCCUUCAGUGCCGCAGCUAACGCAUUAAGCAUUCCGCCUGGGGAGUACGACCGCAAGGUUGAAACUCAAAGGAAUUGACGGGGGCCCGCACAAGCGGUGGAGCAUGUGGUUUAAUUCGAAGCAACGCGAAGAACCUUACCAGGUCUUGACAUCUUUUGAUCACCUGAGAGAUCAGGUUUCCCCUUCGGGGGCAAAAUGACAGGUGGUGCAUGGUUGUCGUCAGCUCGUGUCGUGAGAUGUUGGGUUAAGUCCCGCAACGAGCGCAACCCUUAUGACUAGUUGCCAGCAUUUAGUUGGGCACUC